GGAUCAACAUGUCGGUCGUGCCUCCGGUACGUACUGGUAUCGUUGAUUUCUACCUUCUGACGAACCAUGAUGUCAUUAAUUUGGUGUCAUGGGGAAUCAGGACUGUUACUUUGAAAAAAUUAGAGUGUUUAAAGCAGGCCGAUGCCUGAAUACAUUAGCAUGGAAUAAUGAAAUAGGACGUUUAAUCCUAUUUUGUUGGUUUCUAGGAUUGACGUA
rnacentral:rRNA from 1 species